UCUGGUGCUUUUUUUUUUUCCUCUUGCGGUUCCCCUCCCUGAGAGGCCUCCAGGCCAGGCGACCUUUACAGCCCAUAGCAAAGGACCACUCCCCACCUUCCUCCAGAACUGGCCACCCGGCCGCCUUGCUCUGGGUGUUCGGACCCCACUGCUGCCCUGACCCGCGGGGAAACCAAGCUCCAUUUUUCAGAGGAAGAAACUGAGGCAGGACAGAGAAGGGGAGACCUUAGGAAGACCUUAGACUGUUGGCUCCAGGUGGGCAGAGCCCCUGCGCACUGUGGGUCCUCACUGAGGAGCAACUGAUGGGCAGCAUUCUAGCAAAUACGCCUCUUGCUACAGAUGAGGAAACUGAGGCCAGACUGGAAAAGGGCUUGGAGUCUGGUGUGAGGGAUUCCAGGUGUAGGGCCUGGAGGCCUCUCACUGCCUCUGCAGUGUCCCCUGCAGUGUCCUCAGGGACUGGGACCAAAGGCUGUUCCAAAGUCUAAAUUCUUGGGUCCCACCUCUGUCCUCAGUGCUUAUCUCCUGAGGCCCAGAGAAGACAGCCACUGGCCCUUGGUUACACAACAGGGGGUCCUGAGCCCCAGGCCUGCACGCUGUCACCACCUCUUUCCCCUGCCCUCGUCCCCUGCUCCCAGGAUGGUCUCAAGAGGCAAUUCUGGACUUCUGGAUUCCUAAGGUCCUGGGAGGGACUGGGCUUGGGGUGCCUCUGCCUCCAGGGCCAGCUCUGGGCUGCCACCUCCAGGAAGUCGCCUAUGACUUCCUCCCUCCUCUACCAUAACAGCAGUAAGCUUUCCUGCCCAGAGAGGGGAACUGACCCAGUCAGGAUUACACAGCAAGAGCACAGGCAGCAGCUCAACAUCCUGGAUCACACUGCUCCUGCAUUCCACACACCAGCACCGACCAGCCAGACGUGCUUCCAGAGAAGAAGAGCACCAGACAACACACUGAAUAAAGCAGGGCACCCAGAGAAACGCCACCCUCCUGGGGAGUUCCCAGCCUUGCUUAUUUGAUUGAAUUUUUCAGAAAUAGACGGCGAAGCCCGCAUCCGCAGCGCAUCAGCGACAGGACAGGGAAGACAGAGUCCCCAAGGGCCCGCGGAAGCAGAGCCAGACCCACCUGCGCACACAGAACGCUCACCGCGCCCCUGCCGGCCAAGCAGGAAUCUCCCCAUUUCUCAGAGGAGCCAGCUGGGAUCAGUGAGAGCGAGAAUCAAUUACUGAUUACCGGAACCCAGGAGUCUGGGCUGGAGCAGCGCAAAGGCCCACAGCCAGUCUCGAGGGGGCGCCCUGAGUCCCUGAGCCUCCAGGGGGCUGCUGUUCUCAGGUCAGACUUGAGCCUUGUUCUCCGGAAGUCUCCAGGGAAAACAACUGUUUGAUAUCCUGAACGUGUGAGGAGCUGAACUGGAGGAAGAGAAACCCAGCCCAAGGAUCAAGCAAGGCUUUCCACAGGAGGGGUCUUUUUGGCUGGGCUUUGAAGUAUGAAUAGGAGUUCACAAAGGAGACAAUUUAGAGGGGGCUUGACAGAAGUCAGCCUCAACCUUGGCCCAGAGAAGGAAAGCAAGAUGCAGGGCCACACAGCAAGAAUGUAGCCUUGGAACUCAGCCAGGAGGUGGGAAAGUGCUUCCCAGGUCUGGAGAUUUGCUGGCGCCCAGGAUGCCUGGGGUGGGUGUGUUCUCAGAGGACUGGCGUGAACUCAGGAGCUGGGACUUUGUCCGCAAUGGUAAUGGGGAGCUAUAGAGGGUGGGGGAGCGGGAGAGGGGAGGGCCAUGUCUGAUGUUUCAGCAGAUGGCUCUCCAUUAUGAAAGGGCCCAGGAGGCUCCAAAACUAACUCUGUAGCCUCAGAUUUCAGAUUUCUGUCUGUCUCUGGCCAAGUAGAAGUUUGUAUUAGAAAUACUAGCACUAUACAAAUAAUUAUAAUAAUAGUAAUGAGAAUAAUAACCUAUGCGUCUGUGAUACUCUUUCAUUUUUCUGAUGUUCUAUAAUUUGAUUUUAUCCCAUGGCAACCCCAAGAGGCAGGAAGGGCAGCUUUCAUCAUGAUGUUUUAAGUUGUGGGUAGCAAAGCUGACAGUCGAGGUUGGGGACCUGCCUGGGGUAUGGGGAGCACGCAGCUCACUCACGUUCAUGCAGGGCCACGCUUACCUGGAUGAGGUGAGGUGGUGAGCCCCCAGCUGGGACCGACUGUCGCUACAUGCCCAGAUGCCCUUCAUGAGCCUCUAGGAGGCAGGCCCUGUCCUGCUCACUACCCAUUAACUGCCCCAUGAGGCAGGGGCCUUGAUGUUUCCCCAAAUCCAGGUGAAGCCCAGAGGAGUGAGGGGACAUGCCCAAGGUCACACACAGCCAGGGAAAGAUGGCAAGAGGGGGAAUAUCUGCCAUCUCUGUGACUCUGGGCAAGUCACUUUACUUGCAAAGGCCCUCAGUUUUCUCACUUGUAAAAUGGGGGAGAGGACUUCCCUGGUGUCACAGUGGUUAAGAAUCCGCCUGCCAAUGCAGGGGACACGGGUUUGAGCCCUGGUCUGGGAAGAUCCCACAUGCUGCAGAGCAACUAAGCUCGUGCGCCACAACUACUGAGCCCGCACUCUGGAGCCCACGAGUCACAACUACUGAGCCCACGUGCCACAACUACUGAAGCCCGCGCACCUAGAGCCUGUGCUCCGCAACAAGAGAAGCCACUGCAAUGAGAAGCCCGCGCACUGCAACGAAGAGUAGCCCCCGCUCGCUGCAACUAGAGAAAGCCCGCGCAGCAACGAAGACCCAACACGGCCAAAAAUAAAUAAAGAAAAUAUUUUUUAAAAAAAAAUUAUUAAAAAAAAAAAAGUAUCUGCCUGCCGAUGCAGGCGACAUGGGUUCCAGCCCCGGUCCGGGAACAUCCCACAUGCUGUGGAGCAACUAGGCCCGUGCGCCACAACUACUGAGCCUGUGCUCUGGAGCCCACGAGCCACAACUACUGAGCCCACGUGCCACAGCUACUGAAGCCUGUGCGCCUAGAGCCCGUGCUCCGCAGCAAGAGAAGCCACCGCAGUGAGAAGUCCGUACACCGCAACGAAGAGCAGCCCCUGCUCGCCACAGCUAGAGAAAGCCCACGCGCAGCAACGAAGACCCAACGCAGCCAAAAAUUAAUUAAUUAAUUAAUUCAAAUAAACAAAAAACGAAAACAACCACGGAGCUGGACUUCCUUGGUGGUCUAGUGGUUAAGACUCCGCUUUCCCAAGGCAGGGGGCACGGGUUCGAUCACUGGUCCGGGAAGAUCCUGCAUGCCAUGUAAGCGCAGCCAAAAAAACCCAAAAAAGACACGGAGUUGCUGGGCUGUGGUUACAACUGCUCUUGUUUCCAGGGAAGAACCGGGGGCCAGUGGCCUCUCUGUGGUACCUGCUCAUGGUUGGUUUUGGGGGAGGGGGUGGGGGGGUGUAGGGAGGAGGAGAAAGGUGUUCAUGUAUCAGCAGAUAAGCUAAGCUUCCUGGUUCUGCCCUAGCCCACUCCCAGGGUCCUUAUGAGCGGAGAGCAAAGGACAAAGUGCAGGGGCUGGAAUCUGGCCUCGCCCUGUCAUCCAGGGGCACUUGUAGGCAUAUGUAGGCUUAGUCAUGACAGUCACCUUUCCCGGAGGGUGUACGGGGUGUGACGCCAGGCUUCCAGCUCAGGAAUCUGAAAAUAUACGUGCACACCUCCGCCCACCUGUCCCUAUCCUCCACUGAAAUGUCACCCCAGGCCUGGGGGCAGGGGCAGUAUCCACUAUGGGCCUAGAGACCUUAGGGGCCCCCACCCUUAGGAAGGGCAGCGCCAGGACUCCUGGCCAGGUCUUGCUGACCCCGGAGGAGGGAGGGGAUUGUGCGGGUGUCGCGGAGCAUUUGCAGCAGGGCUGGACCAGGGUCUUCAGGCCCUGCGGCAGCCCCAUCUUCUGCCGCUCAGCUCCUCGGGCCUGUGAACUCCCUCCAAGGCCUGGCGAUUUCUGGGGGGGGACUCAGGAGAAUCUCUUCGGGCAUAGCUGGGACAGCAUUCCCCGUGUCCAGACCCUCUGGCUGGGGUUCAUGAGGCCCCACGACAGAAGAGCAGAACCUUCGCAGCACCCUGAAUCACACCCUGCUGUCUCUGGGCCUCAGUGUGCCCACCUGCAAAAUGGAGCCCAGUGGCCUCAAACCAGCCUUGCAGGGUCCCAGCUGGACUCUGGACCACACGGAUGUGGUGGAAUACUGGGUUCCCAGAAUCCCACAGCCCAUCCCGGCCCUCCUCCCGUACAGUGGCCAGGGCUGGAGCUGGUGGCUGUUGAAGGUGGAGGAGAGCUUUGUUGGGAGUCUGGACCGGGAGACACUGAGCUGCAGGACAGAGGCCCUGACUCUCCCAGGUCAGGGGAGCGGGGAGGGGGUGUGUCUAAGUCAAAUCAGAGGGUGGGAGCCCAUCUGGACACCUCAGGUAGGUAACUGUCUGGGGUCCCAAGGUGAGCGUGCGCAGACCCAUCCC